GGUCCGCGACUCUUGCAUAAAGAUCAUUUGCUAAGGAGACUACACUAUCGAGUCAGACUUUACCGCUGGGCAGUGAUGACGUAGUGCACAGGUAAAGAUGGUUUGUAGAGGAGAAGGUACUCUUAAGCUGGUUUUGCGUUGGACAGCGGCAGUGACGUAUUGCGCAGAUGAGCGGGGUUGUUAUAUUACCGGUCCUGCGCAGUUGCAUUUGUUUGGCGUGGUGAACGAUAGCGGCAUAAGUCGGCAGUGCGGCGCGAUUCUGCGGUACUGAGACCUGUCUGAGCGCCUUAGGAUCUAACUCAGUGUGGUGGUAAACGGUGUGUGACUAUGCUGGUGAUGAGAGCUGUAGAGAAGUUGGCUACAGGUGUAUGUAAAAGGUGUUGAGAGUUGAGGAGCCCAGUGUUGGCCAACUGUAAGUUUUAGGUUGGUAUUUUAUGAAUUUAGUGAUUAAUCUGUGUAUCUGGCAUAAAAGGGAAACAUGACAAGGGUAUGUAGAGGGCGUUUGUAUAUGUAUAGGAAUGUUUAAACGUGUAUAUUAAGACUUUGUUUUUAAAAUAUAUAACUAAAUUGUUUAGUAUAUGGAAUUUAAACAGGCAGUAAGCCAAUAUUGGUGGGACAAUUUAGUGUAUUAAGGUAGGUUUUGAUUUUAAGCUGGUGUGAUUUUUGUAUUCUUUUUUUAAU